GACAGACGCGCCCAUCCCGAGCGCCCACUCAAGCCCAAACCCCUCCGUGGGAUGCUGCGGAAAUGCCCUGGAGCGAGGUGCGCGUCAGAGGAGUCCUAUAGCUUGUGCCACGCACUUCGAAAUGACAACAAUUUUUGGAAAGCCGGAGGAGGCAACGUGCUCUGGAAGAGAUGAGCUACCCUUUUUUCUGCUUUUAAUAGAUGAUGUUUUGGUGGGCUAUAUUUAAGCUCUACUGAGAGGUACAUCAUUUUGCGUAAUAUAAGCAUCAUGAAAUUACAGGAUUCUCCAGGUUCUGCAGAUGUAGCCAUUGCUAUAAAACUACCUAUUAGCCAAUAAACACAGCUAUCCCUAGGGCUUCCCCUACUUCUUAAUAAAUUGGGCAUUCCCUGCAA